rnacentral:rRNA from 1 species
CCCUUAGAUGUCCUGGGCUGCACGCGCGCUACACUGAUGUGUCCAGUAAGCACCUAACCUCUUCCGAAAGGAACGGGUAACCUUUGCAAAGCACAUCGUGAUGGGGAUAGAUUAUUGCAAUUAUUAGUCUUGAACGAGGAAUUCCUAGUAAGCACAAGUCAUCAGCUUGUGUUGAUUACGUCCCUGCCCUUUGUACACACCGCCCGUCGCUCCUACCGAUUGAAUGUUCCGGUGAGCUCUUCGGACUGCGCGGUCUGCAGUUUCUGCGUUCCGUACGGAAAGUUGCGCAAACCUUAACAUUUAGAGGAAGGAGAAGUCGUAACA